UCAAAAAGGAAAUGUGAUGUUAUUUCCAACUCGUCCUCUGAACACCACAGGAUGGCGCUAAAACACACAGGCUGCAAGAACUGAUCUAGGUAAAGAGUCACAUGAAUGCAAAUCAAACAGCUCGAGGCCGUCCUAACAGCAGUUUGGAAGCUGGGUUGACCUGAGACGUUAAAGAGACGGACGCUGCGGAAAGACUGUUGGGAGAAGCUUCGCGGCUUGCACUGUUUGGAGAGGAAUUUGAUGAAACUGGAAGGAAAAGGUGGGACAUGUCCAUGUGGUUCUCCAUAGACGGUCCUGCCAGACCAGAGCGACUCAUAGCCUGGAUCAGAGCGACAUCACAGAACAAAGGUUUG